rnacentral:rRNA from 1 species
AACGAACGCUGGCGGCAGGCCUAACAUAUGCAAGUCGAGCGAAGCCUUCGGGCUUAGCGGCGGACGGGUGAGUAACGCGUGGGAACGUGCCCUUUGGUACGGAAUAGCCCCGGGAAACUGGGAGUAAUACCGUAUGUGGUCGAGAGACGAAAGAUUUAUCGCCAAAGGAUCGGCCCGCGUUGGAUUAGGUAGUUGGUGGGGUAAUGGCCUACCAAGCCGACGAUCCAUAGCUGGUUUGAGCGGAUGAUCAGCCACACUGGGACUGAGACACGGCCCAGACUCCUACGGGAGGCAGCAGUGGGGAAUCGUAGACAAUGGGGGAAACCCUGAUCUAGCCAUGCCGCGUGAUCGAUGAAGGCCUUAGGGUUGUAAAGAUCUUUCAGUGGGGAAGAUAAUGACUGUACCCACAGAAGAAGCCACGGCUAACUCCGUGCCAGCCGCCGCUGUAACAC